AUUACCUUUUAUUAUUUUUUUCGUAUAACCUUAAUAAUUGGAUUAAGGGUCUCUACUAGAAACCGUAAAUUUCUAGCUACGAAAAAAUAUGCUUUCUUG
rnacentral:ncRNA from 1 species